rnacentral:lncRNA from 1 species
UGAAGUCAAUGCAGACCCUCCACUUACCAUUGGCCUUCUUCACUAAAACAACAUUGGCAAGCCAAUCGGGAUAUUGGACCUCCCGAAUGAACUAAGCACUGAUGAGUUUGUUAAUUUCUUCGCGAAUGACCUCCCGACGUUCUGGGGCAAACUGUCUUUUCCUCUGCUUUACUGGUCUGGCCCCUGGGCUAAUGUUAAGCCUAUGGACUGCAAUUUUAGGGUCUAUCCCUCACAUAUCCUCAACCUUCCAGGCAAAAACGUCAAUAUUGCGAGAUAAGCAACCAACAAGUUCUGUCUUUAGGGUGACGUCAAGAUCCCGACCAAUCGUCACCUUCGUAUCAUGCUCGAGCUCAAUUUUCAUCAAUUCUUCGACAGGAGCAAGUCUG